rnacentral:snRNA from 1 species
AGCUUUGCGCAGUGGCAGUAUCGUAGCCAAAGAGGUUUAUCCGAGGCGUGAUUAUUGCUAAUUGAAAAACUUCUCAUAAUUUGGAAUACAGUUAUACCAUUUUGCCCCAUUUUGCAUCUACUAUGAGAUCUCCCAACAUCUUAAAUGAUUUCUAAAUU